GCUACACAUGCAAGUCGAGCGGGGGAAGGUAGCUUGCUACCGGACCUAGCGGCGGACGGGUGAGUAAUGCUUAGGAAUCUGCCUAUUAGUGGGGGACAACAUCUCGAAAGGGAUGCUAAUACCGCAUACGUCCUACGGGAGAAAGCAGGGGAUCUUCGGACCUUGCGCUAAUAGAUGAGCCUAAGUCGGAUUAGCUAGUUGGUGGGGUAAAGGCCUACCAAGGCGACGAUCUGUAGCGGGUCUGAGAGGAUGAUCCGCCACACUGGGACUGAGACACGGCCCAGACUCCUACGGGAGGCAGCAGUGGGGAAUAUUGGACAAUGGGGGGAACCCUGAUCCAGCCAUGCCGCGUGUGUGAAGAAGGCCUUAUGGUUGUAAAGCACUUUAAGCGAGGAGGAGGCUACUUUAGUUAAUACCUAGAGAUAGUGGACGUUACUCGCAGAAUAAGCACCGGCUAACUCUGUGCCAGCAGCCGCGGUAAUACAGAGGGUGCGAGCGUUAAUCGGAUUUACUGGGCGUAAAGCGUGCGUAGGCGGCUUAUUAAGUCGGAUGUGAAAUCCCCGAGCUUAACUUGGGAAUUGCAUUCGAUACUGGUGAGCUAGAGUAUGGGAGAGGAUGGUAGAAUUCCAGGUGUAGCGGUGAAAUGCGUAGAGAUCUGGAGGAAUACCGAUGGCGAAGGCAGCCAUCUGGCCUAAUACUGACGCUGAGGUACGAAAGCAUGGGGAGCAAACAGGAUUAGAUACCCUGGUAGUCCAUGCCGUAAACGAUGUCUACUAGCCGUUGGGGCCUUUGAGGCUUUAGUGGCGCAGCUAACGCGAUAAGUAGACCGCCUGGGGAGUACGGUCGCAAGACUAAAACUCAAAUGAAUUGACGGGGGCCCGCACAAGCGGUGGAGCAUGUGGUUUAAUUCGAUGCAACGCGAAGA
rnacentral:rRNA from 1 species